UGAGGAAUAUUGGGCAAUGCCCGCAAGGGUGACCCAGCAACGCCGCGUGGAGGAUGAAUGUCGUAAGAUUGUAAACUCCUGUUAGAGGGGAAGAAUAGUACCGGUUGGACCGGUAUAUGACUGUACCCUCAGAGAAAGCCCCGGCUAACUACGUGCCAGCAGCCGCGGUAAUACGUAGGGGGCAAGCGUUGUCCGGAUUCACUGGGUGUAAAGGGCGCGUAGGCGGGAUAGCAAGUCAGUGGUGAAAUCUUGCAGCUUAACUGCAAAACUGCCGUUGAUACUGCUGUUCUUGAGUGUGGAAGAGAGAGGCGGAAUUCCAAGUGCAGUAGUGAAAUACGUAGAUAUCUGGAAGAACACCAAUUGCGAAGGCUGCUUCUUGGUCCAUAACUGACGCUGAGGCGCGAAAGCGUGGGGAGCAAACA
rnacentral:rRNA from 1 species